rnacentral:lncRNA from 1 species
GAAAACAUCUGGUUCCUUUCAGAGUACAUGGACUGCAAUCAUUUGGUGAAAAGUUGGUAUGUUCUGAAGGUUUAGUGAAGUAUCAAUAUGUACUUUGUUCUUCAAAGAAAAAGGAUGAAGCCCUCAGUGAGGAAACUUCAUCUGCGGACACUUUUGCAAGUCUGAUAAAUGGAUGUGGAUUUGCAGCAAGCUUUACAUCCUUCUGAUCUUUAAAGCACCUAGAUCUGAUAGAAAUAAAUGAAAGAUAAAUCCUUUAGAGAAAGAAAAAGUAAAGAAUUUGAACUACAUUCAUUACAAGAAUGGGAAUGUCUGGCAUCUCUUGCUUCAGCAAAACAUCAUCUCUUGGUGUGGAG